GAUGAACGCUGGCGGCGUGCCUAAUACAUGCAAGUCGAGCGAACAGAUGAGGAGCUUGCUCCUCUGACGUUAGCGGCGGACGGGUGAGUAACACGUGGAUAACCUACCUAUAAGACUGGGAUAACUUCGGGAAACCGGAGCUAAUACCGGAUAAUAUAUUGAACCGCAUGGUUCAAUAGUGAAAGACGGUUUUGCUGUCACUUAUAGAUGGAUCCGCGCCGCAUUAGCUAGUUGGUAAGGUAACGGCUUACCAAGGCAACGAUGCGUAGCCGACCUGAGAGGGUGAUCGGCCACACUGGAACUGAGACACGGUCCAGACUCCUACGGGAGGCAGCAGUAGGGAAUCUUCCGCAAUGGGCGAAAGCCUGACGGAGCAACGCCGCGUGAGUGAUGAAGGUCUUCGGAUCGUAAAACUCUGUUAUUAGGGAAGAACAAAUGUGUAAGAAACUAUGCACGUCUUGACGGUACCUAAUCAGAAAGCCACGGCUAACUACGUG
rnacentral:rRNA from 1 species